CCCCUUCCCACACCAGCCAGGCCUCAGGGAGGAGUCCAAGAGCACAGCUUCCUUUGGAAUUACGUGAAAACGGACAGUCCCACCUGAACUACCCCAACCUGCUGCCCUGUGGCUGACUCCCCCCACCUCGCGUGGGCCCCUCCCCAGGGGCCCGUGGACCUGCGCCUCGCAGGCCUCGGUCCGGCUCCCCCCCGGCCACGAUGGACUGAGAAUGGUGUGCCUGGCUGUGCAGCGUCUCCUCCCCACGAGGACGCGGGCUCCGGGACGAGGGAGCCCGUCCCGCGGUCUCAGGGCCCACGAGGAACACGGCCACGAGAGCCCCAGGGAGGAAGUCUUAGACCAGUGUGGCGGAUGCGGCCGGCCGCCGGAGGCCCCUCGGGACCGAGGCCCACUCCACGACGGAAGAGAACACUGAGGCUCAAGAAUUUAUCCAGCAUGGGGCCACUAGUCAACGGCAGGACUGGGCUGGGGUUCGCUCCAGGGUCAGCUCUCAGCAACCAUAUGUGACUACCUCGAAGCAUCUGUGUCUUGCCGUGACUCCUAAAAGCCUCCAAAUAUCCAGUAUGUUCAAUCCCGUGGUGCAUCUCCACCCCCGAGAGCUCACAGCUGUGUCCACCAUGCAUCAUCAGGCUGUUUUCUGCAGUUUGUUCCUUGUUUCGCCGUCUGACUUUUGCUCUGUAGACUAUUUCAGUUGUUCGUAUUUUUGCAAAGAUCUGGACAAUAAAUAUAAGCAUGGUAAAUCCCCA